UCCAAGGUUGUGUAGCUGAUUAAAAGGCAGAGCACAGGUCUGUCUCAGUGCAAAACACAUGUUGGUAACCAUAUGCUGUUUCCUCGUCCCAAGGAGUGGGAGCUUUAAGAGUUGAUAAGGUGUUUGGCUAGCCUUGGGGAACUCAUAAUACACAAGAGUAGAUAUGCUAAUAAGUAAUCCCCAGCAAAUGCCAGGGAUUGCUCUACUCAGAAAGCAAAAGCAGGAACUCUUCAAUCCUUCUAAGACUUCAGGGAAGGCUUCUCAGGGAGCAGACCCUCGACAGCUGACCAGGGAGGAAUGCUUUUCUAACUAGAGCCUGAAGAUGUUGCUGGGAUGACAAGGCUUGUGUGGGUUGACUACAGGACACAAGAGAGUGUGUAGCUCUCAAAGAACUGAAACGUGGGCCCUACCAAAGGAGAAGAAAGCCCCAUGAGAAGAUCCCUUUGUCUUCCUGAGAACAAAACUUGGAAUACUCAUAAGAUGGGAGAGAAGUCCUGCUUCACCGAACAGCAUGCAGAUGGCUUACCGAGUGCUGCAGUGCCUCACGUCCUGGCUGGCCCAUAAUAGAAAGUUCCCUCUUCCUUAAUCAGGACUCUAAAAGAUCCUAAUUGUCUAUAGCUGCAAAUAGUUGGCAAUCUCAUUUAUGAAGUUGUCCACCAAUAGCAGUAUUAUUAAAGGUGACUUGGUAAAAUAUUUUAUUGUUUGUACCUAUAUUUUAUAGUAUAAAUUUAAAAAUUAUUCUAGAUAAUAAAAUUCUGUAAUUGAUCAUGGUUUUAAUAGGUGAUUUUUUCCAUAAAGUAUCACACAAACCUUACUUGUAGGCCCUCUCCCAUUUCAUAUUAUGUUAUUUUGUAGUUUUUUGUGCAAUGUUUUUUUGUUUGGAGAUGGGAAAAGUUUUGAGCCCUUCUCUUUUAUUUUAUAUACUUAGAGAAAACAUGGUACAUCCCCCAAAUUGUUGUCAUUUCCUAGUUGUUGCUUCUGGAAUGUUCAUAGAUAUUGAAGACUCUAAAGCUCUGACAUGAAUUCCCUCUAGCAUCAUCUGAGGACAUAGUUUUAGCUGUUGCCCCUUCUGGCCACAGACUCAGAGCAUGAAGCAGGACAUCCACUGUCUUCAGUCUCUGAGAUGACACCAGUGUGUGGCUGAGGUUAGGCGUCACGAACCUCUCCUCCCCUCCCCUUGGUGUCUAACAUUCCAGGGGAAGCAAAGCCCGGAGUUUCUAUGAUUCGGAGGAGCUGAAGGUGAAACCCAGUUGUUUCACCCAAGGGCAGUGUUUCAGGCUAACGCUAAUCCAAGAAUUACAGGAUGUACAGUUUUCUUGAAGUCUACCAAACUUUCACUAAGUAGACUAUUGCUUACAUUAAUUUAGCUAUAUAGCUAUAAACAGUAUCAAUGACAGAAUUAAGAGUAUAUACGUUUCACUCAUUUUUUAAAUUCAAAUAAGCAGAUUUUAUUUCAUUAGGUCUCUUUCAUGAAGUGGACACUAUCAUUAACAUUUUUGUAAUAAUAGGAUAUCAGUUUAAUAUCUUUUCAUAUAUUAUUCCAUACAAUUGAAUACUAUUAAAUUAUUACAAAUUGUCACAGUGCAUAUCUCUUGAUUUUAGUGCCCAGCAUUUAUCCUUUCUUAUUUUAAUCAUUGUGUACCAGUUUUUCUUUCUCAUGAUAUGAGGAGAAGUAUGCAUACAGAGGGCAAUAGUCUUGCUUUAGGUCACACAUCUAGUGAGUGUCAAAGUCAGGAAAUAAACCUGUGUUGUAAGACACUUAGUCUCAUCUUUCUUUUUCAUCCCUAAAAAAUAGAAUCAUUUAUUUUUACACUCUUUUGUCUUUGUAAUUUUUUCCCUGAAGAUAUUAAUAUCUUAAUUGAUUUUGGUCAAUGAUUUCAUUAACUCGAUAAAAUCUUCUUUAUUUAGAAGACUGGAAAAAUAUACAUAAAGAGGUAGACUUGGCACUAUGUCAGGCUGUACUAGGUAAUUAAAACUCACCUAAGACAUCUCAGAAAGAUUCUGAAGAGUUGUUUUCCUGGUCCAGGUAGUGAGUGAUAGAGAGAGGGAAGUAUCACUUUGUUUUGCUUAAAUGAUUAAGAAUUGCUUUGGGGGGUAUCUUUCUGAAAUAAAUCAUAUCCUCUGGCGUCUUGUUGGUGCUUGAGAUGCUUUUUUAAGUUAUAUGGAAAAAUGUUUAAGUGCUUUUCAAUUUUGUUUUGGUUGAGUUCUGCUGUAUUUGAAUAUGAUUGUAGUUUUUAUUCCCUUGCACUGUUCUUCUUUGAAUGGUUUUAAUUUUUGUAUGCGUGUGUGUGUUUGAUAAUAAAGUUAUUUUUUUAAAAAAAGAAUUGCUUUUUGGAGACUUAGUGGAAAGGAACCAUUGGAGAGAGGUGAUGAACUGAAUGUACUUAAUCUCACAAAGGGUCAUUUUAGAAUGAACUAGGAAGAGUCCCAAGGGGAGAUGAGAGAAUUAGAGUAAUAUUGUGAA